CACGUAGGGUGCAAGCGUUGUCCGGAAUUACUGGGUGUAAAGGGAGCGCAGGCGGACCGGCAAGUUGGAAGUGAAAACUAUGGGCUCAACCCAUAAAUUGCUUUCAAAACUGCUGGCCUUGAGUAGUGCAGAGGUAGGUGGAAUUCUCGGUGUAGCGGUGGAAUGCGUAGAUAUCGGGAGGAACACCAGUGGCGAAGGCGACCUACUGGGCACCAACUGACGCCGAGGCUCGAAAGCAUGGGUAGCAAACAGG
rnacentral:rRNA from 1 species